rnacentral:rRNA from 1 species
UACGUAGGGGGCAAGCGUUGUCCGGAAUCAUUGGGCGUAAAGAGCGUGUAGGCGGCCCGGUAAGUCCGCUGUGAAAGUCCAGGGCUCAACCCUGGGAUGCCGGUGGAUACUGUCGGGCUCGAGUCCGGAAGAGGAGUGUGGAAUUCCUGGUGUAGCGGUGAAAUGCGCAGAUAUCAGGAGGAACACCAGCGGCGAAGGCGGCGCUCUGGGCCGGUACUGACACUGAGGAGCGAAAGCGUGGGUAGCAAACAGG